AUGAUGGCCUUUCGUGAUGUGCUUGAGGUAUGUCAACUAGUGGAUAUCGGUUUCUCAAGUGUACCGUUUACAUAUGAUAAUAAGAGAAGCGGGACAGCAAACGUGCGUGUACGUUUGGAUCGUGCUGUCGCCUCUAGUGCUUGGCGCAAUAUGUUCGCUUUCUCCUCGGUGUCCCAUGUGGUGUCACCCUGUUCGGAUCAUGUGGCUCUUAUUCUUAAGGGGACUCCGGACCCUGGGCCGAGUGCAGGAAGACGACACCAGUACGAAAUAUUUUGGGAGCGUAGUGGUGAGCUUCCCGAGUUGGUGCAGCAAGCAUGGGAUUCGGCGGGUGCAAUCGGAAACCUUGAACAGUUACAGUCAGCCCUGAAAAAGACCAUGUCUACUUUGGGCAUAUGGAGUAGGAAAAAGUUUGAUAACAUAACCCGUGAGCUAGCCAAGUCCAGGUCACAACUUGAGGAAUUGGUGAAUAUGAACGCUAAUCGUCAAGAUAUACGGCGAGUGACCGACAGAAUGGACGAGUUACUAUAUCAGGAAGAGAUGUUAUGGCUCCAGAGGUCGAGAAUAAAUUGGCUAAAAGAAGGAGACAGGAACACGAAAUACUUUCAGAGCAAGGCGGUUUGGAGAGCUAGAAAAAAUAAAAUUCGCGAACUUGUGGACGACAAUGGGGUUGCCCAUUCAGAUGAGGCGACAAUGAGACAAAUGGCUAAUGAGUACUUCCAAGGAAUGUACACGGCUGAUCCGAACCUCAUACACACUCCGGUUCUAAGUCUUUUUGAUGCAUUGAUAACUGAUGAUGAUGAUAAUGCUAAGCUAUGUGCUCCUUUCAGUGAUGACGAAAUUUCGGAUGCCCUGUUUCAGAUCGGUCCGUUGAAGGCCCCGGGCCCGGAUGGUUUUCCAGCACGUUUUUUUUCAGCGUAA
rnacentral:rRNA from 1 species